UCUGCAGGUGGCAGAAGGCGCCUGUGCCGUUUGCUGGCAUGGCGAUCGGUUGGUGUCGAUGACGUUGACCUCCGGUUCAACCGGCCUGCCGAA
rnacentral:tRNA from 1 species